UUGGUUAAGUUAGAAAGGGCGCACGGUGGAUGCCUUGGCACUAGGAGCCGAAGAAGGACGGGACUAACACCGAUAUGCUUUGGGGAGCUGUACGUAAGCGUUGAUCCAGAGAUUUCCGAAUGGGGGAACCCACUAUCUUUAGUCGGAUAGUAUCCUUACGUGAAUACAUAGCGUGAGGAAGGCAGACCCAGGGAACUGAAACAUCUAAGUACCUGGAGGAAGAGAAAGAAAAAUCGAUUUCCUGAGUAGCGGCGAGCGAAACGGAAAGAGCCCAAACCAAGAAGCUUGCUUCUUGGGGUUGUAGGACACUCUAUACGGAGUUACAAAAGAAAGUUAUAAAUGAAGCGGUCUGGAAAGGCCCGCCAAAGACGGUAACAGCCCGGUAGUUGAAAUAGCUUUCCCUCCAGAGUGGAUCCUGAGUACGGCGGAACACGUGAAAUUCCGUCGGAAUCCGGGAGGACCAUCUCCCAAGGCUAAAUACUCCCUAGUGACCGAUAGUGAACCAGUACCGUGAGGGAAAGGUGAAAAGCACCCCGGAAGGGGAGUGAAACAGUUCCUGAAACCGUGUGCCUACAAGUAGUUAGAGCCCGUUAAUGGGUGAUAGCGUGCCUUUUGUAGAAUGAACCGGCGAGUUACGAUUUGUUGCAAGGUUAAGCGGAAAAAGCGGAGCCGUAGCGAAAGCGAGUCUGAAUAGGGCGCAUAAGUAACAGGUCGUAGACCCGAAACCAGGUGAUCUACCCAUGUCCAGGAUGAAGGUAAGGUAAUACUUACUGGAGGUCCGAACCCACGCACGUUGAAAAGUGCGGGGAUGAGGUGUGGGUAGCGGAGAAAUUCCAAUCGAACUUGGAGAUAGCUGGUUCUCUCCGAAAUAGCUUUAGGGCUAGCCUCGAGGUAAAGAGUCAUGGAGGUAGAGCACUGUUUGGACUAGGGGCCCUUCUCGGGUUACCGAAUUCAGAUAAACUCCGAAUGCCAUGUACUUAUACUCGGGAGUCAGACUGCGAGUGAUAAGAUCCGUAGUCGAAAGGGAAACAGCCCAGACCACCAGUUAAGGUCCCCAAAUAUAUGUUAAGUGGAAAAGGAUGUGGGGUUGCUUAGACAACCAGGAUGUUGGCUUAGAAGCAGCCACCAUUGAAAGAGUGCGUAAUAGCUCACUGGUCGAGUGACCCCGCGCCGAAAAUGUACCGGGGCUAAACAUAUUACCGAAACUGUGGAUGAACCUCUUUAGAGGUUCGUGGUAGGAGAGCGUUCUAAGGGCGGUGAAGUCAGACCGGAAGGACUGGUGGAGCGCUUAGAAGUGAGAAUGCCGGUAUGAGUAGCGAAAGAAGGGUGAGAAUCCCUUCCACCGAAUAUCUAAGGUUUCCUGAGGAAGGCUCGUCCGCUCAGGGUUAGUCGGGACCU
rnacentral:rRNA from 1 species